GCACACGCCAACCCCAAUUCCUGCUAAGCACUCAUGUCGAGCAGCUUCACUCUUCAUUCCCUCCACUAAGAUCUGGGUCUGUCUUUGAAUAUCCACAACUCGCUAAUAAAUAAUAAAGUGCUGUCUCCUGCAGAACUGCUCUCUUUGGCAGAUGCAUCAACAGCAGGAGCUUGGAAAUCUGUUUCCCUCACACAGGCAUAGGUGAGCUCCCUCUCCCACCAGACUCUGUGUGGACUCAGUGGGGAAGCACUAAGCCGCUUCUCUGUGACCAGGACUUAGCCCCUCUAUGGAGAUAACAGGUUACUCUUCCUGCUAAGGUACAGCUAUACUAGAUAUAGGUGUUUUGAUUGCUCCAGGCAGGUGGUCUUCACACCUGGUUUGAGGAGGAGGUUCUGUGUGUUAACAAUGUAAUCUGUCUUUACUUUUUUU